UACGAAGGGGGCUAGCGUUGCUCGGAAUCACUGGGCGUAAAGGGUGCGUAGGCGGGUCUUUAAGUCAGGGGGUGAAAUCCUGGAGCUCAACUCCAGAACUGCCUUUGAUACUGAAGAUCUUGAGUUCGGGAGAGGUGAGUGGAACUGCGAGUGUAGAGGUGAAAUUCGUAGAUAUUCGGAAGAACACCAGUGGCGAAGGCGACUCACUGGCCCGUUACUGACGCUGAGGCGCGAAAGCGUGGGGAGCAAACAGG
rnacentral:rRNA from 1 species